rnacentral:rRNA from 1 species
ACUCAAAUGAAUUGACGGGGGCCCGCACAAGCGGUGGAGUAUGUGGCUUAAUUCGAUGCAACGCGAAGAACCUUACCUAGGCUUGACAUGCAUCUCUAAGUCGGUGAAAGCCGGCGAGUUCCGCAAGGAAUAAUUUGCACAGGUGCUGCAUGGCUGUCGUCAGCUCGUGUCGUGAGAUGUUGGGUUAAGUCCCGCAACGAGCGCAACCCUUGUGAGCUGUUGCCAAACUUACCGUUUGGCUCUCUGCUCAGACUGCCCUGUGAAACGGGGAGGAAGGUGAGGAUGACGUCAAGUCAGCAUGGCCCUUACGCCUAGGGCUGCACACGUACUACAAUGCCCAGUACAGAAAGAGCCGAACCAGCAAUGGCUAGGAAAUCAAUAAAACUGGGCCCAGUUCGGAUUGUGGGCUGCAACUCGCCCGCAUGAAGCCGGAAUCGCUAGUAAUGGCGCAUCAGCUACGGCGCCGUGAAUACGUUCCCGGGCCUUGUACACACCGCCCGU